UACGUAGGGUGCGAGCGUUAAUCGGAAUUACUGGGCGUAAAGCGUGCGCAGGCGGUGAUGUAAGACAGGUGUGAAAUCCCCGGGCUUAACCUGGGAACUGCGCUUCUAACUGGCAGGCUAGAGUGUGGCAGAGGGGGGUGGAAUUCCACGUGUAGCAGUGAAAUGCGUAGAGAUGUGGAGGAACACCGAUGGCGAAGGCAGCCCCCUGGGCUAACACUGACGCUCAUGCACGAAAGCGUGGGGAGCAACAGG
rnacentral:rRNA from 1 species